rnacentral:rRNA from 1 species
GAGGAAUAUUGGUCAAUGGAGGCAACUCUGAACCAGCCAAGUCGCGUGAAGGAUGAAGGUCUUAUGGAUUGUAAACUUCUUUUGCAAGGGAAUAAAGUGGGGGACGUGUCCUCCUUUGCAUGUAUCUUGCGAAUAAGGAUCGGCUAACUCCGUGCCAGCAGCCGCGGUAAUACGGAGGAUCCGAGCGUUAUCCGGAUUUAUUGGGUUUAAAGGGUGCGCAGGCGGGAUGUUAAGUCGGCGGUGAAAUUUUGCAGCUCAACUGUAAAAGUGCCUUCGAUACUGGUCGUCUUGAGUGCAGUAAAGGUGGGCGGAAUUCGUGGUGUAGCGGUGAAAUGCUUAGAUAUCACGAAGAACCCCAAUUGCGAAGGCAGCUCACUGGAGUGUAACUGACGCUGAUGCUCGAAAGUGUGGGUAUCAAACA